AUCCAGCAGCAGAUCUUUAAUCCGUUCAAUGAUUUAUAAACUAGCAGCAGAUUAAAGUCUCUAAGUGAAAGAAUGUAGAACCAGGUGGUGUAGAACCAGGUGGUGUAGAUCUAGGUGGUGUAGAACCAGGUGGUGUAGAACCAGGUGGAGUAGAACCAGGUGGAGUAGAACCAGGUGGAGUAGAACCAGGUGGAGUAGAACCAGGUGGUAUAGAUCUAGGUGGUGUAGAACCGGGUGGUGUAGAACCAGGUGGUGUAGAACCGGGUGGUGUAGAACCAGGUGGAGUAGAUCCAGGUGGUGUAGAUCUAGGUGGUGUAGAACCAGGUGGUGUAGAACCAGGUGGAGUAGAACCAGGUGGAGUAGAACCAGGGGGUGUAGAUCCAGGUGGUGUAGAACCAGGUGGUGUAGAACCAGGUGGAGUAGAACCAGGUGGAGUAGAACCAGGUGGUGUAGAUCUAGGUGGUGUAGAACCAGGUGGAGUAGAACCAGGUGGAGUAGAACUAGGUGGUGUAGAACCGGGUGGUGUAGAACUAGGUGGUGUAGAACCAGGUGGUGUAGAACCAGGUGGAGUAG